UACGUAGGGACCAAGCGUUGUUCGGAUUUACUGGGCGUAAAGGGCGCGUAGGCGGCAUGACAAGUCACUUGUGAAAUCUCCGGGCCUAACUCGGAACGGUCAAGUGAUACUGUCGCGCUAGAGUGCGGAAGGGGCAAUCAGAAUUCUUGGUGUAGCGGUGAAAUGCGUAGAUAUCAAGAGGAAUACCUGAGGUGAAGACGGGUUGCUAGGCCGACACUGACGCUGAAGCGCGAAAGCCAGGGGAGCAAACGGG
rnacentral:rRNA from 1 species